rnacentral:rRNA from 1 species
AGUGAACGCUGGCGGCAGGCCUAACACAUGCAAGUCGAGCGGCAGCGGGUUCCCGCGAGGGGAUGCCGGCGAGCGGCGGACGGGUGAGGAACACAUCGGAAUCUGCCUGGUCGUGGGGGAUAACGUAGGGAAACUUACGCUAAUACCGCAUGAGACCCUGAGUCGACGGACUGGGGGUGAAAGUGAGGGACCUUCGGGCCUCACGCGACCAGAUGAGCCGAUGUCGGAUUAGCUAGUUGGCGGGGUAACGGCCCGCCAAGGCGACGAUCCGUAGCUGGUCUGAGAGGAUGAUCAGCCACACUGGGACUGAGACACGGCCCAGACUCCUACGGGAGGCAGCAGUGGGGAAUCUUGGACAAUGGGCGCAAGCCUGAUCCA